AUCCCUGUAGCGCAAUGGAUAGCGCGUUGGAAAUAUAAUCUAAAGGUCGUGGGUUUGAAUCCCACCUGAAAUG